rnacentral:sRNA from 1 species
UGCGAUAGGUGCGGAGCCAGUGGGUUAUCAAUACAUGAACCACCCCCAUUGGCACUCACUUGACCUCCGC